rnacentral:rRNA from 1 species
GACGAACGCUGGCGGCGUGCCUAAUACAUGCAAGUUGAGCGCUGAAGGUUGGUACUUGUACCAACUGGAUGAGCAGCGAACGGGUGAGUAACGCGUGGGGAAUCUGCCUUUGAGCGGGGGACAACAUUUGGAAACGAAUGCUAAUACCGCAUAAAAACUUUAAACACAAGUUUUAAGUUUGAAAGAUGCAAUUGCAUCACUCAAAGAUGAUCCCGCGUUGUAUUAGCUAGUUGGUGAGGUAAAGGCUCACCAAGGCGAUGAUACAUAGCCGACCUGAGAGGGUGAGCGGCCACAUUGGGACUGAGACACGGCCCAAACUCCUACGGGAGGCAGCAGUAGGGAAUCUUCGGAAAUGGACGAAAGUCUGACCGAGCAACGCCGCGUGAGUGAAGAAGGUUUUCGGAUCGUAAAACUCUGUUGGUAGAGAAGAACGUUGGUGAGAGUGGAAAGCUCAUCAAGUGACGGUAACUACCCAGAAAGGGACGGCUAACUACGUG